GAUGAACGCUGGCGGCGUGCCUAAUACAUGCAAGUCGAGCGAACAGACGAGGAGCUUGCUCCUCUGACGUUAGCGGCGGACGGGUGAGUAACACGUGGAUAACCUACCUACAAGACUGGGAUAACUUCGGGAAACCGGAGCUAAUACCGGAUAAUAUAUUGAACCGCAUGGUUCAAUAGUGAAAGACGGUUUUGCUGUCACUUAUAGAUGGAUCCGCGCCGCAUUAGCUAGUUGGUAAGGUAACGGCUUACCAAGGCAACGAUGCGUAGCCGACCUGAGAGGGUGAUCGGCCACACUGGAACUGAGACACGGUCCAGACUCCUACGGGAGGCAGCAGUAGGGAAUCUUCCGCAAUGGGCGAAAGCCUGACGGAGCAACGCCGCGUGAGUGAUGAAGGUCUUCGGAUCGUAAAACUCUGUUAUUAGGGAAGAACAAAUGUGUAAGUAACUAUGCACGUCUUGACGGUACCUAACCAGAAAGCCACGGCUAACUACGUG
rnacentral:rRNA from 1 species